rnacentral:rRNA from 1 species
AUGAUGGAGGCCUCUCGGUUGCUCUCUGCCUACCACCCGGGCACCGACGUCGAGCCUGUCAAGCGGGCGCUGGCGGCGAUGCAGGUCAUGAUAAGCGAGGUCCAGCGGUUGGAGCCCAUCCGUAAGACAGUCCUUGAAGGAUGGGUGACCGGUGCCCGCGUUGCCCCCGAGCACCUGCCCUACAUCGAGCACUGGGACACCAUGUCCUACGAGAUCAUCCGCUCCAACCGCACAGGCAAGUGGGACGGUCCAUUCACCAAGAUGCUGGAGACCCAGGCCAACAUCCGCAUCUUGGAGGAAGCGCUCGCCGUGGUCGGACUGUUGCGGAAUGCCGACUUCUAGCAAGUGCUCAAGGCUCACGCCGCCCCUGUCAACGUGGAGUAA